rnacentral:lncRNA from 1 species
UUUUCGUGCCGCCGAUUGGGGUUUGGGGUCCGGAAAUCUGCGUUGAGUCUGGAACUACCCAGCUCCAGCCUUGGUAGACGACCCGCGCACUCCUCUUGCAGCUAAUUCGGGAUCAUUAAUUUAAUCGGAAAUGAGGUAACCAGUGUAGGAGAUAGAGAAAGCAAACCAAGCAUCGAAUGGCAGUUCUCGUGAAUCCACGCUGAAGAACUUCCUCUGGACUCGAUUUUUAAGCGCGGUUGUCAACACCCCACCACCCGGCCCCCUCCGCGUGUACCACCGCCAGGUGUUAGCUUGCCGGGAAGGAAUCUUCUUUGGAGGGGUGCACCUUGCCAACAGGUGUGGCACCUGGAGGAAGAGAAGGCACAUCCAUGCUAAAGGGAGGUCGGUGCGGCGUCCUCCUUAAUGCAGAUAAUUCUGGAAGACCAGUAGGUGUCGGGGCAGCAUUUGACCUCCUUCAGGUGCUUAGAACCAAGCGUCUGCAAACGUGAUCCCUCCACUACUGCAUUUCCGAAGAGCCUGAUUUAUGCACAAAUCUGCAUCAUCAUUGCUGAGAGAACACUCUGUGAGGAAUGUGCUGGGGUCCUGAACGUGAAGGUUUUCUUCACAGCAGCAGAGGGAGCACAAGAGUGCUUAGUAAAACAAGCGCACGGGCCCUCCAAGUGACCUAGAUAAAUUUUCAUCACUGCAACUGUGACCAAGAUUGAAUGUAAUGCAAUGGCCUGUGAAAUAUCAGAAUUUAUGGCCUUAAUCAUAGAAAGAACAUAACUCUUCUUACAUGAAAAGAAAACGGACAACAUUUCAAGGCUUAGAAUGAGUUCACUUCACUUUAUAUGUGAUGGAAAUGCUCCUAGGAGCUGAAAUAGUUCCAGAGUUCAACAGUCUGGGAAAUCUGAAGGAGGGAAAAAAACAAAAAAAAACAAAUAAGCCCUGCAUUUCCAAAGAUGUGAAGAGAGGACUCUGCUCUCUGAGGAUGGAAGGAAGUAAGAAGACCCUAUUUGUGGCUGCAGGAGAGGAAAAGAAAAAAGCCCACAAGGAAACUACCAGCAGAUG